UCCUUUGCCAAUGGGUGGUUUGCUGCUGAUGGAAACCACCAGGCUUGUGGCUGCUGUGACUCCACAUGUGUUCCUGAAGGUGGAAUUGCUGCUUCUCCCUUUGGCGGCAUUCAGUGGGAAGGCAAGGCCUCAGUCAGUCCUGUAAUGGUUCUAGAACGACAGAAGACUUUAGCUGGUUUUCAAUAAAUGGAAAAACCUA